AUGGAGUACCAACCAAUGAUCUCGGCGCUUGAUGUCUGCACCGAGCCCGUCACGGUGGACCUCCUCUUCUCCCUCGUGUCCAACUUCGACCAGCGGGUCAAACUACACCAUGGUAAUGGUUCUGGAGGCUUCAAAUCUUCAGCAAACUCUGCAUCUCGCGGCAGACAGGGAGGACGAGGUGGUGGCUACCGCAACCAGAAGAACGGUGGCAGCGGAUCCCGUGGUUGUUCUCACAGCGGCGGCGGCCAUGCUGGCAAUGGCAGCAGCCAUGCUGGCGGCGGCUAUCAGGGAGGAGGUGGUGGUGGCGGCUACCAUCCCAAUGGAGGUUCCAGCAGCGAUGGCGGCUACCAUCACAGUAAUGGUGGUGGCGGCUAUCAAGGGGGAUGCGGUGACAGCUACUACUCCCCCAACAAUCACGGCGGCAACAACACCAGAGGAUCCUCCUGA
rnacentral:rRNA from 1 species